GAGUGGGGGUGACUGGUGACAGAGUGAGGGAGUGGGUGACUUAGUGAGGGGGUGGGUGACUAGUGACAGAGGGAGGGAGAGGGGGUGACUAGUGACAGAGUGAGGGAAUGGGUGACUAGUGGCAGAGUGAGGGAGGGAAGAGAUGACUAGUGGCAAAGUGAGGGAGGGAAAUGGUGACUAGUGACAGAGUGAGGGGAUGACUGGUGUCACCCCAUCCCUCUCUCUGUCACUGUGUCACCCGCUCCCUCACUCUGUCACUAGUCACCCCCUUACUCUGUCACCCCCUCCCUCACUGUGUCACUAGUCACCCCAUCCCUCUCUCACUAGUCACCCCAUCCCUCUCUCUGUCACUAGUCACUCCCUCCCUAACUC